ACGGGAGGCAGCAGCGGGGAAUAUUGGGCAAUGGGCGCAAGCCUGACCCAGCGACGCCGCGUGAGGGAAGAAGGUCUUCGGAUUGUAAACCUCUUUCAGCAGGGAGGAAGCAAGUGACGGUACCUGCAGAAGAAGUCACGGCUAACUACGUGCUAGCAGCCGCGGUAAUACGUAGGUGGCGAGCGUUAUCCGGAAUUACUGGGUGUAAAGGGUGUGUAGGCGGAGAAGCAAGUCAGGCGUGAAAUUUAUGGGCUCAACUCAUAAACUGCGCUUGAAACUGUUGCACUUGAGAGUGGGAGAGGUAAACGGAAUUCCUGGUGUAGUAGUGAAAUGCGUAGAUAUCAGGAGGAACACCGGUGGCGAAGGCGGUUUACUGGAACACAACUGACGCUGAGGCACGAAAGCGUGGGGAGCAAACAGGAUUAGAUACCCUGGUA
rnacentral:rRNA from 1 species